rnacentral:rRNA from 1 species
UACGUAGGUGACCAGCGUUGUCCGGAUUUACUGGGCGUAAAGAGCGCGCAGGCGGUCGUUCAAGUCGAGUGUGAAAGCCCCCGGCUCAACUGGGGAGGGUCACUCGAUACUGAUCGACUGGAAGGCAGGAGAGGGAAGCGGAAUUCCCGGUGUAGUGGUGAAAUGCGUAGAUAUCGGGAGGAACACCAGUGGCGAAGGCGGCUUCCUGGCCUGUUCUUGACGCUGAGGCGCGAAAGCUAGGGGAGCAAACGGGG